rnacentral:rRNA from 1 species
CUCCUUCUUGUAGAACCGUAAUGCCAUUAACUUGGUGUUGCGGGGAAACAGGACUGUUACUUUGAAAAAAUUAGAGUGUUUAAAGCAGGCUAACGCUUGAAUACAUUAGCAUGGAAUAAUGAAAUAGGACGCUCGAUCCUAUUUUGUUGGUUUCUAGGAUUGACGUA